rnacentral:tRNA from 1 species
AAGGCCUUAAGUUAAAACAAACUAAUAACCUUCAAAGCUAUAAAUAAAGGAAUUCCUUUAGGCCUUG